UCAUGAUUUUGGGAAACAACAAGUUGGGUGAGUGGCCAUCACUGUGGGUUUGAGUUUACUAGAACUAGAUAGCUCUUAUUUCACUCAAAACCUACAUCAACAAAGAGGAGUUAUGUUUUUUCUUCCAUUUUCCAUUUUCUGAAGCUGUUAUAGUUUUUGAGUUUACUAGAACUAGAUAGCUCUGAUUUUGCAUGACGAUUGUUUACAAAGGUCAACUAAAGCCAGAUCAGCCAGAAUGAGAUGAAGAAGCUUCUACCCAUUGUGGAUGCCAGCUCUUCUGAUUCAGGCAAACAUAGACACAUAUCUCAUAUCGAUGGCCAAACAACACAUUAUGUUGCUUCUCUUUGUAUUUCUAUUCUGGACAGUACUGUUUUCUGAAACAUCUGCAAUCACUGAUCCUUUGCAUGGUAAUUUGAAUAUUUUUAUUGCUUAUCCUUUUAUUGUUUGUAUUUUAUUUUUGGGUGAAAGUUUUGAUAGAUCAUUUGGGAGAAUAUACUGACUUGGAAGGGUUAAAGACUUUAACACCCUCACUCAGAUGAAUAUGCGGGCUGUUUUUGUAUUUGUCCUCGACAGCCUAUUUUCAGGCCAUAAAAUGAAGGUCUGGAACUUAGGAUUUGGCAACUGUGGUUCCAGAUCUUGAACCAGCAGGAAUCGAUCUUCUUUCUAAAAUGCUUUGCUUGACCGAGCAGAAUAAUCACAGCCCGGAAUGCACUUGAGCAUGAAUAUUUCAAGGAUCUUGGGUUGGUACCAUCACUCUCUCUCUCUCUCUCUCUCUCUCUCUCUCUCUCUCUCUAUAUUAUAUACCUCAUGGGUUUGAAUGUGUAGUUUUCUUUUCAUUUUUCGGUUGUGGUUUCUGAACUGGUUUGAAUGAGAACCAGUGCUUGGGUUUUGCCUCAGUUCAAAUUACUUAGGGGAGGGAAUUCUCUUCUUGAGGAAGAUACUAUACAGCUUCCAUAUUAAGAUUGUUUUGAGUGAAACUUCUCUGCUUUCAUGCUUCAUGAAAUGGAAUACUUAUCAUGCUUUCAAAAAAUUUCAUAGAAAUAAGGCAACAUUUGUAGAAACUGAAAUCCCAGAGAAUACUGUGCAUAAUAAUGCCUAAAGACCAAAUGGAAUUCUCACACUUUCUUUUUCUUAGUACAGAAAUUCUAACACUUCCACUCAGCAGAUCAAAUGGAAUUCCUGAGUUACCCCUUCUCUUUUCUCAUUGCAGGGCCUUUACAUCUCCCUGAACUUCCCACCCCAACUCACUCUGGAUGGUAUUUUGUUGGUGGUGACCCUGAUGGAGAAAGCUGGGAAGGAAUCAAAUGCUCUGGAGAUGCCAUUCAUUCCAUGUAACACAUAACCUUCUGUUCUUAUGUGUCUUCAAUUUCUCUUAUUGUGCAAACUAUUUUUACUGUGGAAAAAUAGUAGAAGCCAUCAAGGGUGGUGGAGGCUCAGUUCGCAUUGGGGCCACAGGAACAAUUGACUCCUAGAUGACCAGGAAAUUGAAUCCAUGAUGAAAAAAAUGUCGCAAACAUCAACUUCCCCAAGGAGACCUCCAACAAUCCCAGUCUCAGUGCCAUGUGGUGCAAUUCCAAAAAAAACACAACCAAGGAAAAAUUUUCUCAAUGAAGCCAGCAGCAGCAAUGGCAGUUUUUUUUUUUUGAAAACUUUAAAUAGACCAUUAAUUGUUUUGUUGGUAUUGUGCUGAUUGUUGUCUUGAUGGAUGUUAAAUGGGUGAAACAUGCAAAGGUUCAAUCAUUGGUUGAUUAUAAUAUUGUUAGCUUUUGUUGAUAGAAACUA